GGCUGGUCCAAAGGUAGUGAGUUAUAUCACCUGAUUGUUCAGUCAGUUACAGGCCAAACCCCUUGUUCUACUCUUUUCCCUUCUCAAUACUGCACUUGUUUUUAA
ensembl:misc_RNA Y_RNA Y RNA